UACGAAGGGGACUAGCGUUGUUCGGAAUUACUGGGCGUAAAGCGCGCGUAGGCGGCUUUGUAAGUCAGAGGUGAAAUCCCGGAGCUCAACUCCGGAACUGCCUUUGAGACUGCAUCGCUUGAAUCCGGGAGAGGUGAGUGGAAUUCCGAGUGUAGAGGUGAAAUUCGUAGAUAUUCGGAAGAACACCAGUGGCGAAGGCGGCUCACUGGACCGGUAUUGACGCUGAUGUGCGAAAGCGUGGGGAGCAAACAGG
rnacentral:rRNA from 1 species